rnacentral:rRNA from 1 species
CGCGGUAAUUUGACCGUGCGAAGGUAGCAUAAUCAGUAGUCUCUUAAUUGGGGGCUUGAAUGAAAGGUUGGACGAAAGACAAACUGUCUUCUUUACGUGGUUUGAAUUUAACUUUUGAGUGAAAAGGCUCAAAUUGUAUAGUGGGACGAUAAGACCCUGUAAAACUUUAUAUAAAUUUAAUUUAGUUUUGAUGUAGGUAUAAGAAUGUUUUAGUAGAUUUAUAUUUCGUUGGGGAGAUGUGAAUAUAAUUUGUAACUGUUUGUUUAAUUUAAUAAUUGUAAUUAGUUUUCGAUCCUUCUUUGAGGAUUAAAAGAAUAAGUUACUUUAGGGAUAACAGCGUAAUUUUCUUUGAGAGUUCUUAUCGACAAGAGUAGUUGCGACCUCGAUGUUGAAUUAAAAUU